rnacentral:rRNA from 1 species
CCCUUGACCUCAAAUCGGGUGAGACUACCCGCUGAACUUAA